rnacentral:misc_RNA from 1 species
AGUCGUAACAAGGUCUCCGUUGGUGAACCAGCGGAGGGAUCAUUACCGAGUUUUCAACUCCCAAACCCUUAUGUGAACCUACCUAUCGUUGCUUCGGCGGACUCGCCCCAGCCGGACGCGGACUGGACCAGCGGCCGCCGGGGACCAUCAAACUCUUGUAUUAUCAGCAUCUUCUGAAUACGCCGCAAGGCAAAACAAAUAAAUUAAAACUUUCAACAACGGAUCUCUUGGCUCUGGCAUCGAUGAAGAACGCAGCGAAAUGCGAUAAGUAAUGUGAAUUGCAGAAUCCAGUGAAUCAUCGAAUCUUUGAACGCACAUUGCGCCCGCCAGCAUUCUGGCGGGCAUGCCUGUUCGAGCGUCAUUUCAACCCUCGACCUCCCUUUGGGGAAGUCGGCGUUGGGGACCGGCAGCACACCGCCGGCCCUGAAAUGGAGUGGCGGCCCGUCCGCGGCGACCUCUGCGUAGUAAACCAACUCGCACCGGAACCCCGACGUGGCCACGCCGUAAAACACCCAACUUCUGAACGUUGACCUCGAAUCAGGUAGGACUACCCGCUGAACUUAAGCAUAUCAAUAA